GACGAACGCUGGCGGCGUGCUUAACACAUGCAAGUCGAACGGAAAGGCCCUGCUUUUGUGGGGUGCUCGAGUGGCGAACGGUGAGUAACACGUGAGUAACCUGCCCUUGACUUUGGGAUAACUUCAGGAAACUGGGGCUAAUACCGGAUAGGAGCUCCUGCUGCAUGGUGGGGUUGGAAAGGUUUCGGCGGUUGGGGAUGGACUCGCGGCUUAUCAGCUUGUUGGUGGGUAGUGGCUUACCAAGGCUUUGACGGGUAGCCGGCCUGAGAGGGUGACCGGCCACAUUGGGACUGAGAUACGGCCCAGACUCCUACGGGAGGCAGCAGUGGGGGAAUAUUGCACAAUAGGGCGGGAAGGACCUGAUGCAGCAACGACCGCCGUGCGGGGAGUGACGGCCUCGUGUUACGUACGUUACGUCGUCGUCGUCG
rnacentral:rRNA from 1 species